ensembl:lncRNA
CAUCUACAAUUUAGGACAGACUAACUAGUCUGGUGGUUUUACCCUUAGGUCCCUCUGUGCCCCCACUGCCCCUUCUAAGGCAAAGAUCUCUUCUACGACCAUCAUCAUCAGUUCCAUCCAAUUGUGGAGCACCACCUCCUACCCUUCCUCCUCCAGUCCCUCCACACACUGCUCCCCUAAUACAAGCUUAUGGAAUGAACACAGGAAAGUCGACACUGCUGAGUCAAGUCAAAGAAGGGACCCAGCUAAAGGUGGCGCAAGAAAACUUGCCAGUAUCCAACACCAGAAGUCCGUCUAAUGAUUACGCAUAUCAAUCUGGUCCUACGCUACUUGAGGCCAAGGGAGACAUUAAAAGCCCACAGAUCAAUGACUCUCAGGUGAACAACACUGUUUACUCUACCUCCCCUAAGAGGGAGACAGAGGGCAGCAGAAGGCAGUGGCAGGGUGGCACAACAAGCAACGUCCGGCUCCCUGGCAAUGUAGAAUUGGGAGCUCGAAACCCAGGCUUUGAUCAAAUUAACCGGGAGCUGAAGAACCGGUUUGAUAUGACCAGCACCUCUGAGGCUCAUCUGAAAGAGAACGAGACCUCUAAGCCCAUCUCUGACUUCAAACAGAAGAAAGUAGUAGAAGCAGUGAAGGAGGAACUACAGAGACAAGAUCCUACGCUACUGAAGGCCACGGGCAACAUUAAAAGCCCACAGAUCAAUGACUCUCAGGUGAACAACACUGUUUACUCUACCUCCCCUAAAAGGGAGACAGAGGGCAGCAGAAGGCAGUGUCAGGGUGGCACAACAAGCAACGUCCGGUUCCCAGGCAAUGUAGAAUUGGGAGCUCGAAACCCAGGCUUUGAUCAAAUUAACCGGGAGCUGAAGAACCGCUUUGGUAUAAACAGCACCUCUGAGGCUCAUCUGAAAGAGAACGAGACCUCUAAGCCCAUCUCUGACUUCAAACAGAAGAAACUAGUAGAAGCAGUGAAGGAGGAACUACAGAGACAAGGUCCCUCUGUGCCCCCACUGCCCCUUCUAAGGCAAAGAUCUCUUCUACGACCAUCAUCAUCAUCAGUUCCAUCCAAAUGUGGAGCACCACCUGCUCACCUUCCUCCUCCAGUCCCUCCACACACUGCUCCCCUAAUACAAGCUUAUGGAAUGAACACAGGAAAGUCGACACUGCUGAGUCAAGUCAGAGAAGGGACCCAGCUAAAGGUGGCGCAAGAAAACUUGCCAGUAUCCAACACCAGAAGUCGUCUAUCUAAUAAUUACGCAUAUCAAUCUGGUUGGUUUGUUAUAGUAAUAAUAGUGUUUUUCAUUUAUUUUUUAUUGUAUCUUUUACCUAUUUCUGCUGGAAAAUGAGGUGUCACUAUGGGUUUUUAUGUGUUAAAGGGGCUGGCUUUUAACCUCUGUAUAAUCAUAGCACAAUUAGUCAAUAUUUACUCAGCCAAAAGAUGGUUUCAAAGAAGUGAUGCAGGACAAAGUAAUAACAAUUUUAAUGCAGUCAGAUGAGAUUAUGAGUUGACUAGUGUGGAUGUCUAAUGUUUUUUCACCACUAUAGCACCUACAACAGCAAAAAAAGUGAUCGCCAAAUAAUGGUUAUUUUAGUUUAUAUAAGUAUAAGUAUUUUAGAGUUAUAUAAUAUAUAAUUAUAAUUAUUAUAAUUAUAUAAUGGUUAUAUUAUAUAACCAGCCAUGUGGCGUGCACGGUGGAGCAGUGGGUAGCACUGUCGCCUCACAGUAAGAAGGGCCUGAGUUUGAGAUGUCAUUUUACGCAUUAAAAAAAAAAAAACACCAACCCCGGAUUUACAGCCCUGUCUGCCAGUGAAAGUUGCCCAAUGCGUUUUAUGACCUUGUAGCGAAUUCAAUUUAAUAAUUUAACAUUAAUGCAGAAACAUUAAUAUUCCUCAAAAUAGGGGCACGAGGUUGGUUUUAAAGCUGAAACCUCGCUAGACAAACACCAGAUGUCAAUUUAGUGAGUUAAUACUUAUGAUUAAUAGUAAUCACAAUUUCUUUGAUAAAACCAAAUCAGUCUCUAAUGUCAUGAGUUCUUGUCAAAGUGUCAGUGGCAUUUGUUGUUGUCUGAAGAAGGACAAACACAAAACCAGAUUUUAACGUUUUAUUAUGCUAAUACUAUGGAAUAUAUGAAUAAAAGGAUAAUUGUUGCUUGUUGUUGUUGCUGU